UUUGAUGAUCUGGUUCAAACACUGCAUGCAGCCAACCAUGUGACCACAAGGUACACAUGCUCCUUCAACUGAAGCUUCCCAACAUAUUAUACACAAUGCAGGCUUAUGUUCUUUUUCCUUUUGAGUCGUAACAGAAGCUGUUUUUUGUUCCACAGGAGGAGUCGACAAGGGCAAUGGGCUAAGAUCUAUGACAGGAUAAUGAACGUCUUCAAUUUCUUUUGGAACUGGUGGAGCUGAAGG
rnacentral:misc_RNA from 1 species